AUUAAAAUCAGUGAGCGGCUCAACCUAUCACGUGUAUUUUGAUGAUAGAAGUAUUUUAAUUAUCUAUCAGGUACAUUUGACAUUCAAGAAAUCCUAGUGUCCUGGUGGUGUUUGUGUGAGCAUUGAGCAUGUUUAAGGUACUGUCUCUCCCGGAGCUCUUGUUUGUGUGAUACAUAAUAUCAUUGAUGGAGUGUUAGAUUACUAACAUAAAAGUACUAGAGUGACCAUACCUCAUAGCAGGAGUGACAAUUUCACAAUAUUAGCUAUUCCCAGUGGAAACUACAGAGUGCAUGAUGACGUUUGAUCUUGAAUGCAAUUCUCUGCCGAGAAUGCCCAUCUCAAUUGCAGCUGACAACGGGAAUAUAUCUGUUACAGUGUCCUCGGGAGAUGAGGGACAAUCUCCCAGUAGUGAGGGAAUUUUUGCCACAAAGCUGCCAAACGGAGAUGCACAAGUGACUUGUGCUGACUCUGAUGUCGUUUGUCUUGUUUUGUUUCAGUCUACCAUCAAUCUCGACAGAAUUCUAGUUGCUCUCAUUGACUCAUUUGCAAGUUCAAUGGCCUUCUCUGUCAGCGACACCUUUGCUAAUGGCCAUGUUAUAGUCUACUCUUGGAAUAGCUCAGUCCAUUUUCGACGGGAAGGUAUCACUCGAUCAUUAGGCAACUCAAUCCACCAACAAGUGCACCUUCUACCUUGUCUCCUACCGACCCCCCACCUGUUUCUGGGUCCCAGUUUCCAUUGGCCACACGAGUAAUAGCCGUAACUGAAGUUUCGAAGUCAGAUGGAAGAAUUGAUUGGUGCUCAAUGUUUCCAGGAAUUGAGCAGCUCCAGUGCUCAAGAUCAAGGGGAAUAUUAUUUCCUUUGAGCAAACAAAGAAACCACAGAUCGAUGAAACACAAGCUCCAGCAACAACAGGGGAGAGUGUACGAGAGCAUUGACUAAACUAUUUCUGGACAAAUUGUUCAUAUCAAAAGUUAGACAAUUAAUUUUAUUCAAGCUUACUCUGUGUAAUUUUUGGACCUUAGCCGUAAUCUUCUUCAAAUCUCUCCCUAACCGUAACGGUACUAAAAACUAUGAGUUUUGAGCACUGCGGAGGAUGUGUAGAUAUUAAUUUUAAGCAACAUCGAACCAUUCAUUAGAUGUUGUGGAAAGUCCCACACCUUAGCCGGAAACUGCUGGCCUUUUCUCUCCCUAACCGAUUACCCACUAUAACAAUUGUUUACUGUUUUAUUAAUCACCACAAACCCUACCACCUUAUGUUGUCAUGGAAACACUUUUGGAUAUAAUAAUUCGAUCUAGA